rnacentral:rRNA from 1 species
UACGGAAGGCAGCAGUGGGGAAUAUUGCACAAUGGGCGCAAGCCUGAUGCAGCCAUGCCGCGUGUAUGAAGAAGGCCUUAGGGUUGUAAAGUACUUUCAUCGGGGAGGAAAAAACAAAAACUAAUAAUUUUAUUUCUUGACGUUACCCGAAAAAGAAGCACCGGCUAACUCCGUGCCAGCAGCCGCGGUAAUACGGAGGGUGCUAGCGUUAAUCAGAAUUACUGGGCGUAAAGAGCACGUAGGUGGUUUUUUUAAGUUCAGAUGUGAAAUCCCUGGGCUUAACCUAGGAACUGCAUUUUGAAACUGAAAUACUAGAGUAUCGUAGAGGGAGGUAGAAUUCUAGGUGUAGCGGUGAAAUGCGUAGAUAUCUGGAGGAAUACCUGUGGCGAAAGCGGCCUCCUAAACGAAUACUGACACUGAGGUGCGAAAGCGUUGGGGAGCAAACAGGGAUUAGGAUACC